rnacentral:rRNA from 1 species
CUGACUUGGCGCACCUGGCCCGCCACGGUUACGUGUGUGAGUGCCGGGAUGCGCCUGUCACUUUUCUGGUAAACCAUUGUGCUCUUCACUGGGUGUGAUGGGUAGCCAGAUAUUUUACUUUGAAAAAAUUAGAGUGUUUAAAGCAGGCGUUUGCUAUGAAUACAUUAGCAUGGAAUAAUAAGUUAGGACUUCGGUUCUAUUUUGUUGGUUUCUAGGACUGAAGUAAUGAUUGAUAGGGAUAGUUGGGGGUGCUAGUAUUCAGCGGCCAGAGGUGAAAUUCUCGGAUUCGCUGAAGACUAACUUAUGCGAAAGCAUUC